rnacentral:rRNA from 1 species
UGCAGUCGAACGAUGUAGCAAUACAUAGUGGCGCACGGGUGAGUAACGCGUGGGAAUGUACCAUUUGGUGGGGAAUAACUCCGGGAAACUGGAGCUAAUACCGCAUACGCCCUUCGGGGGAAAGAUUUAUCGCCAAAUGAUCAGCCCGCGUGAGAUUAUGGUAGUUGGUGGGGUAAUGGCCUACCAAGCCGACGAUCUCUAGCUGGUCUUAGAGGACGACCAGCCACACUGGAACUGAGACACGGUCCAGACUCCUACGGGAGGCAGCAGUGGGGAAUAUUGGGCAAUGGAGGAAACUCUGACCCAGCCAUGCCGCGUGAGUGAUGAAGGCCUUAGGGUUGUAAAGCUCUUUUAACGGUGAAGAUAAUGACGGUAACCGUAGAAUAAGCCCCGGCUAACUUCGUGCCAGCAGCCGCGGUAAUACGAAGGGGGCUAGCGUUGUUCGGAAUUACUGGGCGUAAAGCGCGCGUAGGCGGCGCAGCAAGUCAGUGGUGAAAUCCCGAGGCUCAACUUCGGAACUGCCAUUGAAACUGCUGUGCUGGAAUCUCAGAGGGGAUAGCGGAAUUCCAAAUGUAGGGGUGAAAUCCGUAGAUAUUUGGAGGAACACCGGUGGCGAAGGCGGCUAUCUGGAUGAGUAUUGACGCUGAGGCGCGAAAGCGUGGGGAUCAAACAGGAUUAGAUACCCUGGUAGUCCACGCUGUAAACGAUGAAUGCUAGUUGUUGGGGGGGUUACCCCUCAGUGACGUCGCUAACGCAUUAAGCAUUCCGCCUGGGGAGUACGGCCGCAAGGUUAAAACUCAAAGAAAUUGACGGGGACCCGCACAAGCGGUGGAGCAUGUGGUUUAAUUCGAGGCAACGCGAAGAACCUUACCAGCCUUGACAUGUCCUCUUUGGACUUCAGAGAUGAAGUCCUUCACUUCGGGUGGGAGGAACACAGUGCUGCAUGGCUGUCGUCAGCUCGUGUCGUGAGAUGUUGGGUUAAGUCCCGCACGAGCGCAAC